GUGGGGAAUAUUGGACAAUGGGCGCAAGCCUGAUCCAGCCAUGCCGCGUGAGUGAUGAAGGCCUUAGGGUUGUAAAGCUCUUUUACCCGGGAAGAUAAUGACUGUACCGGGAGAAUAAGCCCCGGCUAACUUCGUGCCAGCAGCCGCGGUAAUACGAAGGGGGCUAGCGUUGUUCGGAUUUACUGGGCGUAAAGCGCACGUAGGCGGAUCUUUAAGUCAGAGGUGAAAUCCCAAGGCUCAACCUUGGAACUGCCUUUGAUACUGGGGAUCUUGAGUUCGGAAGAGGUGAGUGGAACUGCGAGUGUAGAGGUGAAAUUCGUAGAUAUUCGCAAGAACACCAGUGGCGAAGGCGGCUCACUGGUCCGAUACUGACGCUGAGGUGCGAAAGCGUGGGGAGCAAACAGGAUUAGAUACCCUAGUAGUCC
rnacentral:rRNA from 1 species